rnacentral:rRNA from 1 species
UACGAAGGGUGCAAGCGUUACUCGGAAUUACUGGGCGUAAAGCGUGCGUAGGUGGUUUGUUAAGUCUGAUGUGAAAGCCCUGGGCUCAACCUGGGAAUUGCAUUGGAUACUGGCAGGCUAGAGUGCGGUAGAGGAUGGCGGAAUUCCCGGUGUAGCAGUGAAAUGCGUAGAGAUCGGGAGGAACAUCUGUGGCGAAGGCGGCCAUCUGGACCAGCACUGACACUGAGGCACGAAAGCUAGGGGAGCAAACAGG